rnacentral:rRNA from 1 species
AAAAGUGUAAUUUUAAUACCUAAACUAGUAAAAGUUAAGUUCUCAAAAAUUAAGAAAGGUGGCGGUACUUUAGUCUAUUCAGAGGAACCUGUUCUAUAAUUGAUAGUCCACGUUUAUAUUUACUUAUUUUAUUAGUUUGCAUAUCGCCGUAGUUUGAAUAUUUUUUUUGGAUUAUAAUAUUCAAAAUAUUUAUUAGAAAGGAAUUCAGGUCAAGAUGUAGUUUAUAAAUAAGAAGAAAUGGGUUACAUUAAAUUUAUUUAUGGAUAUUUGUUGUAAAGAAAGUUAAAAAUGGAUUUGAAAGUAAUUUUUUAAGAAUAUUUUUAAGAUGAUUAAGGCUCUAAAGU